CCCGUGCACCUUUACUACAGCUUUGCAGUGGCAUCAGAAGAUGAAUGUGUAGGAUAGGCGGGAGGCUUUGAAGCGGCAGCGCCAGCUGUUGUGGAGCCAUCCUUGAAAUACCGCCCUUUUGUUUUUUGAUAUCUAACCGCGGUCCGUCAUCCGGAUCCGGGACCCUGCAUGGUGGGUAGUUUGACUGGGGCGGUCUCCUCCCAAAGAGUAACGGAGGAGUGCGAAGGUGACCUCAGCGCGGUCGGAAAUCGCGCAAUGAGUGCAAAGGCAUAAGGUCGCUUAACUGCGAGACAGACACGUCGAGCAGGUGCGAAAGCAGGUCUUAGUGAUCCGGUGGUUCUGUAUGGAAGGGCCAUCGCUCAACGAAUAAAAGGUACUCCGGGGAUAACAGGCUGAUUCCUCCCAAGAGUCCACAUCGACGGAGGAGUUUGGCACCUCGAUGUCGGCUCAUCACAUCCUGGGGCUGUAGCAGGUCCCAAGGGUAUGGCUGUUCGCCAUUUAAAGUGG
rnacentral:rRNA from 1 species